UACGUAGGGUGCAAGCGUUAAUCGGAAUUACUGGGCGUAAAGCGUGCGCAGGCGGUUUUGUAAGACAGAGGUGAAAUCCCCGGGCUCAACCUGGGGAACUGCCUUUGUGACUGCAAGGCUUGAGUGCGGCAGAGGGGGAUGGAAUUCCGCGUGUAGCAGUGAAAUGCGUAGAUAUGCGGAGGAACACCGAUGGCGAAGGCAAUCCCCUGGGCCUGCACUGACGCUCAUGCACGAAAGCGUGGGGAGCAAACAGG
rnacentral:rRNA from 1 species